rnacentral:rRNA from 1 species
UACGUAGGGGGCUAGCGUUAUCCGGAAUUACUGGGCGUAAAGGGUGCGUAGGUGGUUUCUUAAGUCAGAGGUGAAAGGCUACGGCUCAACCGUAGUAAGCCUUUGAAACUGGGGAACUUGAGUGCGGAAGAGGAGAGUGGAAUUCCUAGUGUAGCGGUGAAAUGCGUAGAUAUUAGGAGGAACACCAGUUGCGAAGGCGGCUCUCUGGACUGUAACUAACACUGAGGCACGAAAGCGUGGGGAGCAAACAGG